rnacentral:misc_RNA from 1 species
ACCACUACUCAAGGUCCAUGGUGGGGAAACACCACUACUCAAGGUCCAUGGUGGGGAAAUAACUCUACUCAAGGUCCAUGGUGGGGAAACAACUCAACCGAAGGUCCAUGGUGGGGAAACAACUCAACCGAAG